CCCGCUGAACUUAAGCAUAUCAAUAAGCGGAGGAAAAGAAACUAACAAGGAUUCCCCUAGUAACUGCGAGUGAAGCGGGAAAAGCUCAAAUUUAAAAUCUGGCAGUGCAUUUUUGCUUGCUGUCCGAGUUGUAAUCUAGAGAAGUGCUAUCCGCGCUGGACCGUGUACAAGUCUCCUGGAAUGGAGCCUCAUAGAGGGUGAGAAUCCCGUCUCUGACAUGGACUACCAGGGCUUUUGUGAUGCGCUCUCGAAGAGUCGAGUUGUUUGGGAAUGCAGCUCAAAAUGGGUGGUAAAUUCCAUCUAAAGCUAAGUAUUGGCGAGAGACCGAUAGCGAACAAGUACCGUGAGGGAAAGAUGAAAAGAACUUUGAAAAGAGAGUUAAACAGUACGUGAAAUUGUUGAAAGGGAAACGCUUGAAGUCAGUCACGUUGGCCGGGGAUCAACCUCGCAUUUACUUGCUGGGCGCACUUUCCGGUUGACGGGUCAGCAUCAAUUUUGACUGCUGGACAAAGGUAAAGGGAAUGUGGCAUCUUCGGAUGUGUUAUAGCCCUUGAUCGCAUACAGCAGUUGGGAUUGAGGAACUCAGCACGCCUUUAAUGGCCGGGUUUGUAUAACCAAGUUACGUGCUUAGGAUGCUGGCAUAAUGGCUUUAAUCGACCCGUCUUGAAACACGG
rnacentral:rRNA from 1 species